rnacentral:lncRNA from 1 species
CACUAUUCGCUGGUUGACUCUCCACAUCUUCUGACCUUGCUCGUCAUCUCUAGCAAUCCAAGGUUGUAAGUCUUUGUCAGCCUGCGAAACAAAUAUGCGUCAAGAAAGAUGACAUAGGAUAUCGUAUAAUAGUACAUCUUCAUGUAUAGGCAUCAUAGUAAAAGAAAAUGCCUGUUUUGAAAUAAAUUAAUCAAGAACAAAAGCUAAUUUUUGAACCAAAUUUAGUUUUGAUCAAACAUGUGAAUACAGCAAUAUCUUGACCUGUAGAACAAUAGCAGCUGAAGCUUUGGUUGGUGAGGCUGAAACGACAUCACAAAGCGCAUCUACAACCUACACAUCAGAAACAAGGAUUGUCAUUCAUCCGUAUUCUAUAAUGCUAACAACAAUAUUGAUGACUUCACACCACUAUUUAGCUAUGAUUAUAAGCACACAUACAUACCUUUCUCCAUCCUUGGUGAGCUGAUGUACUUUCUGCAGACAUCUGCAUUUCAGGAGAAGCUAUGAGCUUCUGCCAGAGCAAUGAGACAACAGAGAAGCACAGUUCUUGUUUCUCUGACAAUACAGAUCUUAGGAGAGUUUGAGAACCUCGGUAACCCCCAUUCCGAUCCAUGGUAAGGAAGUUUGCUAAAUCAGAUGCUUCCACCUGUAAGCUUGCAAUGGCUUU